UACGUAGGGACCGAGCGUUGUCCGGAUUCAUUGGGCGUAAAGAGCUCGUAGGCGGCUGUUCAAGUCGAACGUGAAAACUCGGGGCUCAACUCCGAGCCUGCGUUCGAUACUGGACGGCUAGAGUCUGGCAGGGGGAUCUGGAAUUCCUGGUGUAGCGGUGGAAUGCGUAGAGAUCGGGAGGAACACCAGCGGCGAAAGCGGCUCUCUGGUCCAAAACUGACGCUGAGGGGCGAAAGCGUGGGGAGCAAACAGG
rnacentral:rRNA from 1 species